rnacentral:rRNA from 1 species
GCAGCCGCGGUAAUUCCAGCUCCAAUAGCGUAUAUUAAAGUUGUUGCAGUUAGAACGCUCGUAGUCGGAUUUCGGGGCGGGCCGACCGGUCUGCCGAUGGGUACGCACUGGCCGGCGCGUCCUUCCUUCCGGAGACCGUGCCUACUCUUAACUGAGCGGGGGCGGGAGACGGAUCGUUUACUUUGAAAAAAUCAGAGUGUUUCAAGCAGGCAGCUCGCUCUUGCAUGGAUUAGCAUGGGAUAAUGAAAUAGGACUUUGGUGCUAUUUUGUUGGUUUCGAACACCGAAGUAAUGAUUAAAAGGGACAGUCAGGGGCACUCGUAUUCCGCCGAGAGAGGUGAAAUUCUUAGACCAGCGGAAGACGAACCACUGCGAAAGCAUUUGCCAGGGAUGUUUUCAUUGAUCAAGAACGAAAGU